CUUUUGGAGGAAGAACUGCGUGAGAUAGGUACUUCUGUUGUACCUCCAGGUGAAGUGUAUGGAAGAUGGGAUGGCAUAGAGUUUAAAGAUAAAGAAAUAGUGUGGCCACCAAUGGUGAUUAUAAUGAACACGAGGCAUGACAAAGCUGAAAAUGACAAGGUAGAUGUUGAUUUUUGUCUUCUACUUGAUAUACUUUUUAUUUAAUACUUUAUUGGCUGAAUGAACACGAGGCAUGACAAAGGUGAAAAUGACAAGGUAGAUGAUGAUUUUUGUCUUCUACUUGAUAUACUUUUUAUUUAAUACUUUAUUGGCUGGAUGGCUAAUAGGUAUCUCUCUCUCUGUGUGAGCCACAUUUCUCAGUGG
rnacentral:lncRNA from 1 species